CCUUUUCAACCCAAACUACUAGAGAUGACUGGGUCUCUAGAUUUUAAUUUAUGUUUCUGAAAUGAGUCUUACACUUACAGCUAAAUUUUCAUUACUGUGUAGGUGCUUAAGUACGACAGGAAUCUUGAGUGUAGUUCAAAAUUAUCAUACACUUGUUCUAGGAGUAGCAGUUUGUAAUCAGUACUGAUUUGAGAUCUUGGGCCUUUAUAUGACAAUUCAUAUUAUGUCAGUGUAGUUUGCUGCUACUGCUACUACUGCAAUUACUCCUGUAAUUUCUACUGUUUCUAGAUCUUUGCAAUUAAUUUAAAAAUUCUUUUCCUAUUAAUGUGAAUAAGCCCUUAGUCUCCUGUCCUUGACAGAGGAGAAUGUUCGCAAAUUGUGUGGACUUAUUUCAGCUGUAUCUCAUGCAUGUUGAAAAUGGAUGGCCAGACUGUGUGCCAGCACUAAAACAAGAGGAAACUGUAGAACUUGUUGGCUGAUACAUCUGAUCUGUUGGUAUUGGCUGCAAAAUAUAAAACAAUUUGGAAUGAGGCGCAAGUUCUUACGAGUAGGCAUCAUUACUGACUGGAACAAACUCCUAAGUUGGGACUCCAUGUCUUGUUGGAUCUUUGAAAUGGGACUGCAUAUGUACUGGGAAACCUCAUGUCAUCGUACUAAAUAAGAGGGUUUGCAGAUGGAAGGCCUUGGACUGCACAGUUGUGAAUGAAAGAAAGGGUAGAUUGUGAGAUUAUCCCUGUGAAUACAAGAUGGAUUACUAUGAAAAAUAUUAUGGUAUCCUAUUUUAUAGUAUUCAAUAUUUUACUUGUCACUUUAUUGUUAUGAGAUCAUGGUAGCACAUUAAAAUGCAGGACUAUAUAAGAAUAAACUGUAUAGCAUUUGGUAUAGCUAUACCUAUUAUGAAUAUUUUUAUUUUAAAAAGCAACAAAAUAAGAGAACAACUCUUUCUUAUUUUACCACUAUACAACUUUUUCCUAGAUUGCUGCCAGUUUUUCAUUUUCAAGUUCCUUGUCUACAUCCUUUCUGUUGAACAUCCUAAUCUCUCUUUUUUUAACACAGUCUCAGAGUGAUUCAUUUGUGACAGUCACAGAAGCAUGCACUCCAACACCCACACGCAGGUAAAUCUGCUGCGGUGAUAUAUUUUAAUUACAGAUUUAGUCAGAAGUAAUUAAGGUUUUAUGUCACAGGGAUAGCGGAGAGUUUUAAAAAUUCAUGUGGUUUCAUUCUUUGUGAGUGCGCAGUUUGUGACACAAUGGCUUGCAAAACAGGAACGACCCCUUAGUGCUGUUAGAUUAAUUAAUAGAAAGAGAAUAAACUUAAUGGAGCUAGAAAAGUGCAAAAAAUUGUGUUUUUUCCACUGUAUAUCACACAGAUGGAAUGGUCGUCCUGGGAUUGCGGCGGGGGACAGUAAUUGCAUUUUAAUUACAGUGCUGAUGGCUUCUGCUUCCUACCAGAUGGAAGGCCCUUUUAAAAUAGAGGCACAAUAGCAAGCCUCUGCUUAUUUUCUCUUCUGAUGCUAGCUAACAUAAAGUGACACAAGACAAAAGCUAUUAUGGUAUGGUUUGAUCAGAAAGACUUUAUUCAGUGCUAUAAGACUUUCUAGUAUGAAGAAAAUCCAUUCUCUGCCAGUAUUAAAAAGACUUCUUCUGUCUGGAAACUAAAAUGAAAAUAUGUGGGGAACUACCUACUACUUUUAUUAGUAACAGUCAUAGUUAAUCACAUUGUUGCUAGGUUGAUAAUAUUUAUAGAAAGAAAGAUAACUGAGACUUCUUUUGUUUAGAAUGCUUAGCAAAGAUGGCUCACAGGAUGGCUCUAUCUAGAAGAAGAUGUAGGUUACACUGAAGGUAACAAAUGCAAAGUUUAGUCUAUGAUGUCCUUUAUUUUACAAAUAUUAUUGGAAGUUAGCAAACAUAAAAGUGCUGAUUAUUGAGAAACUGAUGUUGCAGAGAAGGGUCAGAUCUGUGAAUAGUGUGAAAAUUACAUUCAAAGCCAUUAAAUUACAUUAAGAAGCAUACCUUUGUAGAUGCACAUACAGUAUUCAUAAGUGAAUAAAUGAAUUAUAUUUAAUAAUAUCUCACCUUUUUGUCAUAGUUUAACUGCUUCUUAUAUUAGUUUUCCAGCAAGAUGCCCUUCCACUGUCAUUGCAUCUUCGAAACUAUAGCCUCUGUUAUUUAUAUUGUAAAGAUAUAUUUGAGAAUCUUUUAUCUAUGCUUUAAGUCUUGAAAAAGGGGAGGCAACAAUAAAUAAAUUUGCUUCAUAGUUAAUGUGUAACUGAUUUAUUAAGCUGCUUCUUUGUGCCAGGGGUCACUCUCUGUAAUUUGUAUGUAAGAAAUGCAGUGAGUACCAGGCUCUAAUAGUAAUAUUAUUUAAUAUUUGUAACAAUUAAUUAAAAUUAGCACAUUGUAGUCCAGAAAGAUAUGACUUCUAGUGCUGUGCUGCCAGCAACUCAGCUGUUUCCUAGGCAGUUUCCUAUGAACCCACUAGAGUUAUCUCCAUAUUGUUGAGGAUUUAUGCUCAGCAAUGGCACUGAGCAGACUGUAGAAGGUGCACGCUUGGAGAAUAUGAAAACAGAGGGAACUGGGGAGAGGUUGGAAGGGUGUCCAUUCUCCACCUCUGUGGAACUUGAAUACUGAUAAUCGUGGAGUAUCUCCGGUUGGAUUAUUCUUCAUAGAAGUAUAUUUGCAUAAGCAUUUAUAAACCCAGUAUUUUUACAGGCCAUUAAUAUACUCGUCAUUUUCUUUCAUAACAAAUUUAUGCCUAAUUUUUUACUACUACAGUCCAAAAGGUCACUUUAAGUAUUACAUUGAAGGUUCAAAAAAUGAAUUAAAGAAAAGCAAGUGAAAGGCCAAGUAAAAUAUUUAGUGCUUUCCUCACUUCGAACUUCAUGAAACUAUAAUCAGCUAAUUUUUUGUAAUCAGAGUGGGAGGGCUUGCAAGCCUGUUGGAAGAAAAUCUCAGAAUUCUGAUGGAUCUUGAUGAAACUACAGGAACGAUUUGGUAACAACAAGAUGAAAACUUGUUAGGAAGGAGAAAUAAGUCUGAAAUGCAAAAUGUGAAGUCACUGGGUAGGGUGCUGAGCCUCUUGAAAAAAGGAGAGCAAUAGAAAAACAAAAGCUGAAUUUGAAUUAUUGUGAUUGAAUGGCAAAACCAGAUGUUUUUCUGAACUGUCUAAAUAGGAGUUGUAUUUAAGACAUGAGGUAGUUAUUAGCGUUUGCCUCAGGUUGGUGAUGUUAAAAGGGAUAACAUCUCUUUCUUUAGGGUUUAGUUCAAGAAAGACAUGGGUAACUUAAAGUUUCUGAGCAGAGCGUUCUAAAGAUACAGUAAUCAAUGGUUCCUCAUAUCCUCAUCUCACAAGAUUUUACUCACAACAAAAGAUUUAAGUUAGAUUGUAAAGAGUUUUUCUAACUACCAGGAUAAUUAGUAAAUGGAACAGACUGUCUAAGUCAUAAAGCCUCUUUCAUUAGAGACUUUAAAGAUAUUCUCAAAGUCGUACAAGGGAAGUGUGGUCAAGAUGAAAUCAGUGAUUUCAGUGUACAGAAUAAAUAUCUGUGAAGGGUCGUUUUAGUCUGUGUCAGUGUAAACUUUGUCAAUGUUUAUUAUUAUCUCUUAAGUGUUCUACAGUUACCUCAUGUGGUACCUUACAGCUCUUCAUUCCUUAUGCCUGCUUGUUUGGCCUUGUGCUCUCCCUCUAAUUACCUCUGUAUUUUUUAAUUUCUGUAAAAAUUUAAAACAACAAAAGCAAAAACUUGCCUCAUAUAGGAUGUGAGAAAUUUUCAAGUAUUGAAAAUGAUGUUUCCAUUGGGAAUUUGUGAAAGUAGCAUAAAAUGUGAGUUUUGUGUUGGAGCAGCUUAAAAUGUGCUCACAAUUUAUUUGUACUUCACAUUCAAUUCAGGAAAACACUAGUGUGUUGAAGAAGUCAAGAGAAAAACUGCAAAAGUAAUAAGGAGAUAGCAAAUAAUUAUUUGCUAUAAUAGAGUGAAAGAUCUAAGGCCACAGUGCAACAAAAGAAAACAUGCUGAAAGGUAUAAAUAGUUAUGCUGACAUCAGGGUUAGCUCAUUGUUUGGUUAAAUAGUCCCCUGAGUAAGAAUUGAUCUAGAUAAAUAAUAUCUAAGAUUGGGAAAGGUACAUGAUGAUGCCCUGUAAAUAUUUAAAAGGUAAAAAAAUGUAAGGGAAAAGAUUUUGAGACAGUUUUAGAAAACUAUUAAAAACUAAUGGAGUGGAAGAAAAUACUACCUUUGUGCAAUAUCAGGAAGUUAAAAAUAUCCAAUUACAUUUGAGGAUGAAGAUUUGAUCAUGAGAUCAAUAGACUUUAGAAGAGUUUUCCAAGAGCAGUGGUGCAUAAAAACGUAAAGGUCAUAGUAUGAGGUCAGAAAAAAUGUCCAUCUAUAACAAUCUCUUGUGGCCAUCAGCAGAUGUUUACGUUAGAAAAUAAAAACAAGAUUAGAAUAAAUAGAAGCUAUACUACUUAACAUUAAAAAUCAGAAACGAGUAUUAGUAGAAAAAAUAUUGUAAAAACAAUUCAGUAUUAAUUAUUGGAAUGGGGUACCUAACCUAACUGUUUUUAACUGUUUUUUCUAACAGUCUUAGAAAAUGUGAUUUCAUUAUAAAAUUAAUUGAGUGGAAGAAGUAUUCUAGAAUGCUCUAAGAAUUUUGUUUUGGUGACUCAUCAUGCUGGUAUAUGGUGAUACUUUGUUGUGUGAGAACACACAAUAGAGAUUAUUCCUUAUUAUUCCAGUAUCUAUACACAUUUUUACUUUUAUUUGUAGAUCUAUUGUUAAACACAGAUGUAGGAAAGCGUCGUAUUGACUCCAGCUUCUCUGAAAACAACAGGAAAAAGUAUUUGCUCAGUAGAAACUAAGUUUAGACUUAUUACUAAAGGACAAAUAACAGUGACUAUUAGUAUGAGAUGAAACUUAGAGUAGUUCCUUACAGGAAUGAUUCGAUAAAAUGCUUAGUAGUUACUGUGAUGUUUGAUUGAGGCUUAUAGUGUUACUUGCAAAGAUCUGGAAUGGCUAAGAACUUCCAAGUAUCAAGCUUCUUAUUUAAAGACAUUUUUUACAGUUAUAUUAUUUCAGGCAUUAAAAUUAUAAAAUACUUUCAAACAUUAUGCACAGUCUAGAGGAUGAAGAUGACUAUGGUAAACUAUAGAUUUUGAAAUACAAAAUAAUAACUUUCUGUUUAUUCUAAGAUAGAAUGCAAUUGCACAAGAAAUGUGUAGAUCCCAAAGGAUUGUGGCCACAUUAGCAGAGAUGCUGGAUAUUUGUAUUAAAUAUCUAUUUUAAUUCUUCAUAUUAUAUUUCAGAUCAUAAAUAGAAGAAAUAUCUAGAAACUAUCGUAAUAGGUUCUAUAGAAAUUAGUAAAAAGAAAUAAAUAUUUGACGUGUGUAUGUCCAUAUUUAAGCAAAUUGAUGUUUUCUGGCACUGUUUUAAAUUUCUACAUUGUAGAGAAAGUUUGCCAGCAAGGAACAGAAGGAGUAUUGACUUUUUACUAUAAUGACAUUUCUAUCAAAUUAAUUAUAAACUUGGGAAAUACUAAUCUAAUUGAAAUAAUAUUGCUAAAAGAAAAAUACAGUUAGGUUUUUUUUUCCUGGAAGUUUAAUGGGUGAGAGAAAGUGAAAGGCUUGGAAUACAAAAGUAUUAGAGAAAAUAAUUGCUGGUAUUAUAAUAAUUCAUAUGAAUAUUGUUGAAAAAUAUUAAAAUAUCUAUUUACCUAUUAAAAUCCAUGUGACAACUGUGGAAAGAAUUUAUUUUUUACUACUAAUAAUAUAAUAUUAAAAUAGAAAAAAUGUAUAUGAUUCUCAUUAGUUUGUUAUCACAAGACAUGUUGAUCAGCAAUCUAUCAUAUAUAAAAUUUUGCCCUGACACAAUAAAAAUGGCAAUAAACAAAUUAAAAUGGGAUUCACCUUUCUGUCAUGUUUGUAUUCACCAAACUGAAGAAGGAGCGUUCUAAAAUAGCUUACAUUGUUUAAAAUAAAAAUGGAGAUACUUAAAGAUUCAAAGAAUGUUUCUAUAAAGGAAGAAAAGACACUAUUUGCCAGGUUAGCAGCUGGACUGCACUAAAUCAGGGUAAAGGGCAGAACCUUUAGGUGGAGAACCAGGGGUGCUCAGCAUCUCUUAAGCACAGGAUUUCAAUAUAGAAUGGUGAAAAGGAACACUUCUAUUAAAACACAGUAGACAUACACAGGAUUGGAAGAGCAGUUUGUGCAAAGAAAUUAUAGACAAAAAGGCAGUGGCGUGCACCUUGUUUGCGCCUUUUGUGACGAUAACAAUCUGAAAACACUGCCCUUGAUGUUGAUGCUGUUUUCUUUGCAGAUGCAAAACAUAUUACUGAGUGCUCUUGACCCAAAAGGGUUCCUUCCAGUAUUGGUGGCAUCUUCUGGCUUACAUUUAAACAUCUUUUUAGCAGUCUGCUAAGACACUAAAUUGGCCUUUAUCACCUUAUUUUAUAUCAAUUGUAAAUGAUGGCCGCAUACAGGCUGAAAUAGAAUGUAGUUUAGACUAAGUUUAGUAAGUAGUUGAUUUUUGAAUCAGAUCAUUUACUUGGCUCUUUAACCCCUGAAUGACACAGGAUGAUCUUAACUUUUUGCCUAAUGCACAGCACAGUUUACUGAGGAUUUCUUGGGGAAUGGACUGAAAUGCAACAUGAGAAAACCACAGAGCUCCUUAGUGACUGUCACUGCAUAUUCCUUUCCAUUCAAGCCUUGCAUAUGUUAAGUUACACUUUUGUGAGAGGACUACCUUGUGCACUGCAGCACUCAGUUUCAGUCCCAGCAUUGCUCCUCUUGGUUUAUCUUCUUUCUUGAACACUCACAAGAAAAAGAGAAGAGCAUAAGGUGAGCACAACAGGACUUCAAAGCCUGUAUCCUUCUCCAUCAGGGCACCUUUGAAUUUGAGAGGGGGGACACAAAUUUCAUUUUGAACAGCCACUGGAUGUGGUAAGCAUUAACAGUUCAUACUUUUCUGACAAGGGAUCGGAAAAUGGGUUGAAGUAUAACGUUUUCAUGUCUAAACAAUACUAACAGCUCCUGACUUUUGCUCAAGGCUGCUUUGGGCCUGAGAAACUGGUUGACUGACUCUUAAAUAUUAGGAUUAAUUUCUCUGCUAUAACUGCGUUAGCUUCAAGAGGUAUCUAGAACUGGAUUAAUUUCUCUGCAGGUUCUGCAUUGGGCUAUGUGUAAAACAUUACACCGCUAGUGAAAACAGUACGAAGCUUGGGUUUUGUUAGAUUUGCAGGAAGGAAAAUGAUUGGUGCUGCUUUAGUAUUUACAAACUUCUCUUGAGAUACAGGCAAAAAUUGCUUUUUCUGCCUGUGGGAAGGUGGAAAAUACUGAAGGAAUUUGGAUCUGGUUCUUAACUAUAAAAUAAAAUUAACCCCACUCUAAAUUCUUUGCCAUAUUCCAGGGCUGGAUGUUGGAAGCAGAGCUCUUUUGCAGCAGUGGCAUGCUGUGAUUUGAGAUCUGCAUGCACUCUUUACCACAAAUCUUGUUCAUCUGAGGCUUUUAAAAAUACAGAUAUGCUUGAUUAUCUGUCCCUGUUCAGGAGUUAGCUUUCUGCAGGUUUUUCUAAAUUGCUGUUUUUACUCUUUGCUCUUAAAAAGCUUUAUAUGUGUAAAGAUGCAAAGUAUAUUAGAAGGGAAUGGUUUUAAAAGCAAAUGGUUCUUCUAGCUGAUACAUUAUAGAGAACUGUAUUUCACUUGUAAUUGCAGUAUUAUGUAACUCCACUCAUGUAUCAAACACUUGUGUUUAUGAUAUAAAAGUAUUAUCAAAUUGUUUUCCCCAUUUUCUGUAUAAAAUAUAUUACUGUACUAUAGCUACAUGUUGUUUGUUUUUAUUAUCUUUAUCACGUAGUAAAGAUAGUGUAAGAGUUACAAAGAAAUGUCUCUUUUUAUCCAGAAAUGUAUUUAUUUAGAUAUUCAUUUGCAAGUUCUCCAUAUGUUGAUUCAUCACUGAAGCAGGCAAUACUUGUGUAAAGGAGGCCUACAUAAAUAAUACUGUAAAUAUAUAAAAUACAUUUAUCAGAGAGUAGCUAAAUGAACCCUGCAUAAUAAGAAAAUGAUAAACUACUUUGUAUUAAUUGCUAAAAGCAGUGAUUCUAUUUGACAAAGCACUGAAUUGAGACUUAGAUCAUAUUCACUGCUAGAGCAAAUUUGCUUAUCAGCUUGCCUCAUUUUCCACAUCUAUAUAAUGGGAAAAAUGUUAUUGACUUUCUUUGUUUAGCAGUUUUAAGAUUUAAUGCUGAAUAAUGACAUAUAUGAGAUAUGUAUUGUUUAUAAUGUAAUGAACAGAGAAAUACAAAAUCAAAGUGACAGUGUGUUUAGAAGCUACCUAGAGUAAGGAUUUGCAAGCCAUCAGGAGAAAGCAUUCCAGAUUUACAACCUGUAAAAAGCACUGAUAGAAAUUUAGAGUGCUUAAACUGAGGAAUCAAUAAUAACAGGAACCACAUAGCUAUGAUGUUCGUGAUAGGACACAGAGAGAGGACUGUAGCUCCGUACCGAUGCCCUGAAUUGCUUUCAAUUUAUUCUUCAGUCCAAAUAAGAACUGUUCCAUUAUAUAAAUCAUGUUUAAGUUCUGUAACGCUUCUGAUGGUUUUAAGUGUUGGCUAUAUUUCACUUAGAUUUACAUAUGGCAAAGAAUUAAGAUGUGCUUGUCUGUGUUGUGUUGUAAACACAGUGGUUGUAACACUCAUUUGAGAAAUAAAGUAGUCUGUACAUAGGUAAAAGAUUAAUUUUUCUUACUUUGUUUACUCUUGGUACUUUGAUCCGUCGUUAUAUCACACAGGAUAUGAUGGUGUGUGAAUCAUUCUGUAGCAUUACAGGUACAAUAUAUCAUUCUCUUUUCCAAAAAUUCUACAUAGAUUUAGUUAAAAAAAAAGUCUCUGAAUCAGUUCCAUACUGCUCAUUCCCAUGUCCUACUCCAUUCAGUCAGGGUGGUGCCUUCCAGAGAUUGUAAGGGGGGCAGAGGAGUGAAUUUAAAGCAGUGACACAGAAAAGACUGAUGUUCUCUUCACAGGGGUUCCAGGUGAUGCAUCAGUUCCUAUUAGAAAUAGGCGAGAGUCACAUUUCCAGAGAAAUCUAGCUCAUCAAGGGCUGAGAGAAAAAAUCUUACAUAUCUCAUUUCUGAAUAAAAGUAACCCUUACAUCUUCACCUACCACUGUCAAAGUGAAGUCCAGAAAAGAUGCAACUUCCUGAGAAUAAGCAUAUAUGUAAGAAAGACCUCACUCAUAGAAUUCAGAAGAGCAGACUUCAGUCUGUUCAGGAACCUGCCUGAAAGAAACCCAUGGGGUACAGCCCUGGAGAGAAGAGGCAUCCAGGAGACCUAGUGAUUUUCAAGGAUCAUGUUCUCCAGACUCAGGAUCCAUCCUGACAAGAGAGAAAUCAGCUAAAGACAGCAGGAGUCCUGCACAGUCUGGUUAAAGACUGAAACAACUUGCCCAGAGGCAGCGUGGAGUCUCCAUGUCUAGAAAUGUUGAAAACUUGGCUGGACAUGGUCCGAAACAGUCUGCUUUAGUUCACACUGCUUGAGUGAAUGGGGUUAAACUAAGCAACCCCAGACGUCUCUUCUGAACUCGACUAUUCUGUGAUUCUGUGAAUGUAAAACCAAUUACUUUGUUGCAUCAAAAAGGACAGUAUUUAAGUAUUGCCGGACUAAAAAAUCCCUUAAUCAAAGAUAAUGGAUUAUUAUUCUUUUGCAGAAGUUCACCCA